rnacentral:lncRNA from 1 species
GACACUGUGGUGUCUGGAGCAUCACUGCAUCGUCACGUUAUGCCACACAGGAACCAAGCUGCUUCCUUUGGGUGUCUACCCUGUCGGAAGGAGCCAGAAAUCGCGGGGCGCCAGAUCCAGUGAAUAAAGUGGAUGAGGACACACUAACGUUUGCACGGGCCUGCCUGUCUGUGGGUGGCCCCUGGCAGCAGCGGUUCAUUGUGUUUUCGGUCGCACCUUGCAAAGAUGCUUGCGAGAGAGCACUUCCAGGACUGCUUCAGAGAGCGGCGAGCAUGAUGGGAUAAGUGUUCAAAACAAGGGGCAGCAUUUUGACAGGGGAUUCUUGGCAGUGUGUCUUUUGC